rnacentral:rRNA from 1 species
ACACCGGCAGCUCUAGUGGUAGCAGUUUUUAUUGGGCCUAAAGCGUCCGUAGCCGGUUUAAUAAGUCUCUGGUGAAAUCCUGUAGCUUAACUGUGGGAAUUGCUGGAGAUACUAUUAGACUUGAGACCGGGAGAGGUUAGAGGUACUCCCAGGGUAGAGGUGAAAUUCUGUAAUCCUGGGAGGACCGCCUGUUGCGAAGGCGUCUAACUGGAACGGUUCUGACGGUGAGGGACGAAAGUUAGGGGCGCGAACCGGAUUAGAUACCCGGGUAGUCCUAACCGUAAACGAUGCGGACUUGGUGUUGGGGUGGCUUUGAGCUGCUCCAGUGCCGAAGGGAAGCUGUUAAGUCCGCCGCCUGGGAAGUACGGUCGCAAGACUGAUACUUAAAGGAAUUGGCGGG